rnacentral:misc_RNA from 1 species
CUAGUGUUUUCCACGGGAAAAAAUGUUGACACUAACUUUUUUGUCGAUAGUACGAAAGUACGGCUGAUGAUUUGAUGCAGUGUAUCAAAUUUGGUCUUUCUUUUCUGUGUUAUUGAAAUUUAUCCGAUGGUCACGAAGAAAACAUGAUCGCUUCAUCUCCCAGUAUUAUUGCACUAAAUUAUGAGAAAACACUAGGACCAUACAACCUACAACCUGAGAACUAUUGGAAGGGGUAGACCUAGGAAAGCAUGGGGCAAAGUGGUGAGAAGGGAUCUUCAGACGUUGAGCCUCACAGGAGAUGACAAGGGACUGAGACUUCUGGCACUUUACUGUGCUUGAGGAGACACAGCAAGUUAAGUAAAAUCAUGGCUGUCCUUGCAUUCAGGCAUGACCCCUACAUCCCUUUUCAGCCGAGUAAUCCUAAUCUGGUGGGCUCAUGGGUGCUGGUGUCACAUAAAAAGUACCCAUGCUGGUGCCAGGUAAAAGUGUCUAUGCCAGUUUUGCAUAAAGGUACCCAGUACACUUUGUAAAGUGGUUGGUGUUAGAAAGGGCGUCCAGCCAUAGAAACCAUGUUAAAACAGACAUGGAAUCAGGGCAGCUCUUCAGCCGGCCAGUUCCUGUCAAACUGUCCUACCCAUGCCAGCAUGGAAAACGCAUGUUAAAUGAUGAUGUCAAUUGUUCAUACUUCUGUAUAUAUUUCUAUUCUUCUUUGUUAUGCAGUAUUUUUGACAGAUUGCCUCCUUUUUAGUAAGCUUUAU